UACGUAGGGGGCUAGCGUUGUUCGGAAUUACUGGGCGUAAAGCGCACGUAGGCGGCUUCUUAAGUCGGCGGUGAAAUCCUGGAGCUCAACUCCAGAACUGCCUUCGAUACUGGGAAGCUCGAGUCCGGGAGAGGUGAGUGGAACUGCGAGUGUAGAGGUGAAAUGCGUAGAUAUUCGCAAGAACACCAGUGGCGAAGGCGGCUCACUGGCCCGGUACUGACGCUGAGGUGCGAAAGCGUGGGGAGCGAACAGG
rnacentral:rRNA from 1 species